rnacentral:rRNA from 1 species
CCCUUAGAUGUCCGGGGCCGCACGCGCGCUACACUGAAGGAAUCAGCGUGGCUUUCUCCCUGACCCGAAAGGGUUGGGAAACCCGUUGAAUCUCCUUCGUGAUAGGGAUUGGGGCUUGAAAUUGUUCCCCAUGAACGAGGAAUUCCCAGUAAGCGCGAGUCAUAAGCUCGCGUUGAUUACGUCCCUGCCCUUUGUACACACCGCCCGUCGCACCUACCGAUUGAAUGGUUCGGUGAAGAUCUCGGACUUCGAUAUUUGUUCUUCAUUGAACUUAUAUUGUGGGAAGUUAUCUAAACCUCAUCAUUUAGAGGAAGGUGAAGUCGUAACA